rnacentral:rRNA from 1 species
GACGAACCGAGCGAACGUUUGUUCGGAAUCACUGGGCUUAAAGGGCGCGUAGGCGGGCUGCCAAGUCUGGGGUGAAAUCCCGCGGCUCAACCGUGGAACUGCCUCAGAUACUGGCGGCCUCGAGGGAGGUAGGGGCGAGCGGAACUAAUGGUGGAGCGGUGAAAUGCGUAGAUAUCUGGAGGAAUACCGGUGGCGAAGGCGGCAUCCUGGACCG